GGGCCCGCACAAGCGGUGGAGUAUGUGGUUUAAUUCGAUGCAACGCGAAGAACCUUACCAGGGUUUGACAUCCUGCGAAUUUCUGGGAAACCGGAAAGUGCCUUCGGGAGCGCAGUGACAGGUGGUGCAUGGCUGUCGUCAGCUCGUGUUGUGAAAUGUUGGGUUAAGUCCCGCAACGAGCGCAACCCUUAUCCUUGUUUGCCAGCGAGUAAUGUCGGGAACUCCAGGGAGACUGCCGGUGAUAAACCGGAGGAAGGUGGGGACGACGUCAAGUCAUCAUGCCCCUUACAUCCUGGGCUACACACGUACUACAAUGCUACGGACAAAGGGCAGCAAGUUCGCGAGGACAAGCAAAUCCCAUAACCGUGGCUC
rnacentral:rRNA from 1 species